AUACGGAGGGUGCGAGCGUUAAUCGGAAUUACUGGGCGUAAAGGGUGCGUAGGCGGCUUGAUAAGUCGGAUGUGAGAGCCCCGGGCUUAACCUGGGAAUUGCAUUCGAUACUGUCAGGCUAGAGUAUGUCAGAGGUUGGCGGAAUUCCUGGUGUAGCGGUGAAAUGCGUAGAUAUCAGGAGGAACACCAGUGGCGAAGGCGGCUAACUGGGGCAAUACUGACGCUGAGGCACGAAAGCGUGGGGAGCAAACAGGAUUAGAUACCCCAGUAGUCC
rnacentral:rRNA from 1 species